CCUACGUGAGGCAGCAGUGAGGAAUAUUGGUCAAUGGACGCAAGUCUGAACCAGCCAUGCCGCGUGCAGGAAGACGGCUCUAUGAGUUGUACACUGCUUUUGUACGAGGAUAAACGCAGAUACGCGUAUCUGUCUGAAAGUAUCGUACGAAUAAGCAUCGGCUAACUCCGUGCCAGCAGCCGCGGUAAUACGGAGGAUUCCAGCGUUAUCCGGAUUUAUUGGGUUUAAAGGGUGCGUAGGCGGUCGGAUAAGUUAGAGGUGAAAUCCCGAGGCUCAACUUCGGAAUUGCCUCUGUUCCUGUGCGGCUAGAGAGUAGUUGCGGUAGGCGGAAUGUAGGGUGUAGCGGUGAAAGGCUUAGAGAUCAUACAGAACACCGAUUGCGAAGGCAGCUUACCAAGCUACUGCUGAAGUUGAGGCACGAAAGCGUGGGGAGCAAACAGGAUUAGAUACCCUAGUAGUC
rnacentral:rRNA from 1 species